UCAUGGCGGACGGGUGAGUAACGUGUAAAGAACUUACCAUAUAGACUGGGAUAACAGAGGGAAACUUCUGAUAAUACUGGAUAAGUUAGUAGUAGCAUUACUAAGUAAUGAAAGGUAGCAAUACGCUAUAUGAGAGCUUUGCAUCCUAUUAGCUAGUUGGUGGGGUAAAAGCCUACCAAGGCGAUGAUAGGUAGCCGGCCUGAGAGGGUGGACGGCCACAAGGGGACUGAGAUACGGCCCUUACUCCUACGGGAGGCAGCAGGU
rnacentral:rRNA from 1 species